rnacentral:rRNA from 1 species
AACGUAGGACGCAAGCGUUAUCCGGAGUUACUGGGCGUAAAGCGCGGGCAGGCGGUCGGUCAAGUCUGAUGUGAAAUCUCUCCGCUCAACGGGGAGCAGCCAUUGGAAACUGGGCGACUGGAGUCUGGCAGAGGUAGGCGGAAUUCCGGGUGGAGUGGUGAAAUGCGUAGAGAUCCGGAGGAACACCAGAGGCGAAGGCGGCCUACUGGGCCAGUACUGACGCUGAGGCGCGAAAGCCAGGGGAGCGAACGGG